CCGCCCGCGUGGUCGCCGCCACCGCAGCCGCCCGAGAGGAGCUGGGGGAGGACGGUGGCCCGCGAGGCUCGUCGCAGACAACGCGGCGGCGAUGUCCGCGAGCCAGGCGAGUGCCGCGGCGGCAGCGGCGGGGCCUCGCACGCGGCAGGGCGGCCUGGGCUUCGGCCUCCCUCCGGUUCCCAGGAAGCGAGCUGGCGGCCAGCGUGGGACCAGCAGCAGCAGCAGAGGCGGAGGCACCGGCGCGUCUCUCUCCUCCCCUUCAGCCUGAGCCGGGGGAGGCCAGGCGGCCCGGGUGGCUGGAGGGGGGGUCCGCUGCCCAAGAAUGGGAAUUCUCUUCACCAGGAUAUGGAGACUGUUCAAUCACCAGGAGCACAAAGUUAUCAUUGUUGGGCUGGAUAAUGCAGGGAAAACUACCAUUCUUUACCAGUUUUCUAUGAAUGAAGUUGUACAUACAUCACCUACAAUUGGAAGUAAUGUAGAAGAAAUAGUGAUUAAUAAUACACGUUUCUUAAUGUGGGAUAUUGGUGGUCAAGAAUCUCUUCGUUCUUCCUGGAACACUUACUAUACUAACACAGAGUUUGUAAUUGUUGUUGUGGACAGUACAGACAGAGAAAGAAUUUCUGUAACUAGAGAAGAACUCUAUAAAAUGUUAGCCCAUGAGGACCUAAGGAAAGCUGGAUUGCUGAUUUUUGCUAAUAAACAAGAUGUUAAAGAAUGCAUGACUGUAGCAGAAAUCUCCCAGUUUUUGAAAUUAACUUCUAUUAAAGAUCACCAGUGGCAUAUCCAAGCAUGCUGUGCUCUUACUGGCGAGGGAUUAUGCCAAGGACUUGAAUGGAUGAUGUCACGACUUAAGAUUAGAUGAUCUCUACUGACCUCUUCUCAUAGACUUGUAUAAACGAAGUGCUGGACUUUAUCUGAAAGCUGCAAAAAUUAAUGGUUUAGAUAUAUUUAUAAUAAACUGAUUUAAACUUUUUCUAUAAGAAGAAUAAUUAAGACCACUUAUUUGAGAACAAAGAUGAAGUUUCAUUUUCCAAUCUGCUUUCUCAUUAGUCCCUUCCAAAGCAAGGUCUUUAAAGCUGUGAUUGCCAUUUUUCUCAUAAUGAAUCCUCUCAGGACAUUGUGUAGCCUGUGUGUCAGGCUGACCAGCAUACAAGUGCACGAGUCCCAGUGGCAUGAAAGCAGGGUUAGAAUUCCCACCUUCCUUGGCUCAAAGGAAACAAACGAAGGCAGGUGUUCCAGUUUGAAGGCCAGGUCCUUCCAUCUUGCGACCCCACCAUCCAGAGGGACUUGCUGUCAUCUGCAUCAAGCCUGAAGGUGAACAGAGAAUGUGGAGGAGGUAUGUCUGCUUCUUAAAGGCCUCAGCCCUAGAAGUGGAAUGCCUCACUUCCUUUCACGUUCCAUUGGCAAGAGCUAACUGUAGCCACCCUGAGACGCACUGUUGGCUCAGAAGUGUAAUCCCUGCUGGAAAUCCACUUCUCACUUAACCACCAUACCCCAGUCAUUGAGAAGCGUGUGGCUUGGUUUGCGCGCUGUCACUGAGGGCAUUUGGACAAAUUAACAUGAUUACAGUACCACAGAGAAUACGUUUAACUCGAUCAACUCAGACCGGGGGACAGAUCAAGAGAAGCUUUUGGGAAGAGAUGGUAUUUGAGCUGUGUUGUGAAAGAAGCAGGUAAGCUAACUAGGUGAAAAAGAGGUAAAAGAUUUUAGGCAGAGAAAAUACAUGCAAAAGAUAUGCAUACAUGCAAAAAGUAUGAAGGAAUAUGGCCUAUCGGGGACAAAAGUAGUACAGUAUAGGUGGGUUGGAUCAUGGAACCAUGAUGAUGUGGCAAAGAGUCUUUGGGUUCAAGGGCAAAAUUAUGUGUUCAAGAGAUUUUUAGGAUGUAGAACCCACGAAGUUGGGAAUGACCUAGGACCUCAAUGAGGAGAAGUAGUCUGGUCCCUGAGGGUCUACACCGCGUGCCAGGCAGAGGGAACCGCAAGUGCAGAGGCCUCAGGUGGGAAUGGAGUUGGUGUGUCUGAGGAGAAUGAAGACUAUGGCUGGAGCAUAUGUGGGAGGAGAUGAGGUCUGAAAGGUACAGAGGCCAUAUCACUGAGGGCCUUUUGAACCAUGAGGAAAUUUUGGAGUUUAUUCUAAAUCCAAUGGACGUGUUGGGCUCUGUGCUGACUGCAGAGCCUGGAGCCUGCUUCAGGUCCUGUGUCUUCCUCUCUCUCUGCUCCUCCCCUGCUCACACUCUUUCUCUCUCUCUCCAAAAUAAAUCAACAUUAAAGAAAAAAAUUUUUUUUUAAUUCGGUGGAGAGUUAUUUGAAGAUUUUAAGCAGGGAAGUGAUAUCUUUGUGCAGUAAGACUACACUAAAGACAUAUGUAUUUAUUCAGUCAUAACAAACAUAUUCUCCCCAAAAUACAGUGUUUUCUAAAUGGUGCAUGUCAAUGCAGUGUACUAGUGUGGAAUUCAUCAUUUUAGAUUGACAUUGACAUGUUUAUUUGAAUUAAUACUCUCAGCUGUCUCGUGGUGAGAAAAACAAGUUCAUAUACAACAGAAAUAGAGAAAGACAACAGGUAUAGGGAGGGCACGGAAUGAGAAAAUAAUGCCAAAUGUUGCUCAUCUUAAUUUUUUUUUUUUUAAUGGAACAUUUUGGGUAUGGUUUUGCAAAAGCCAAGCCAAGAUCGUGUGUUGAAGGAGGUCCCCAACAGAAAGUUUCUUUCAUGUAAGAUAAUGGCGUCAUUUUUCCCACAGGCUGUGCCCUGAUUCUCUUGGAGUCUGUGGAAGGCACUGGCCCCACAACUUCAUGUAGAGGAUUCUGGGAAGAGUUCAAAAGAAAUUAAACAGAAUUAGAAAUUGGAAAAUUCCUGCUUCUAAAUAGGAAUUUGGGACAUGAUAAUCUGAAAAUGCACUUUUAAAAGUGACUUCUUUAGACCCAAGGAAUAGUUUUAGAAGAGGGGAAAGAGAGUUCUAGAGCAAACUGACACAGUUGCCUAUAGAAUGUGAUAUGAGGGGCAUUUCUGCAAGAAUUUCUCAUUCAAAGUGCCUCCCUGCAACCCCUCACUGACCCCAGGAACUUUCUCAAGUCCUUGUCAUUAAGAUGUCAUUCUAUUGGUUGGGGUAAGAUUUUUAUCUCUCUGAGUACAGGGGAAACAUCCUUACCUGAUACAGUGGAUGCAUCAACAGCUGGAUUGUCUCCCAAGGCACCUAAUUCAGCACAUAGUCGAUGCUCCUCCUCACUCGUGAGGGUAUUGCAAUACUUCAGUGGACGAGUCAUGUCGUCUCCACUUUGCUCCAUCCCUAGCAGAUAAAAGCUUUGUUUCAUAAUUUAAAAAAUCAAGGCUAUGGGGUAUGAACUUCUCGAUUUUCCUGCCCUCUUAUCUACAUAUUUAACUUCCUCAGCCUAUUUUUGGGAAUUUGUUCCCUCACUAAGACUGACUCAAGUCUCCUUCCAUAACUGUACUCUUGGUUACAUAGUCUCUCACAUUAAUUCCUUAAAUGUUUGCUUCCUUCAUUCUAAAACAUUUUAUUGAGCACCUGCUAUGUGCAUGCCUCUGUUUGAGGCUGGGAAUAUAUAUGUGAUAAUCAAGAUGGUCAUGGUCAGUUUUGACAAGAAGAAUGUUUAUUAGAUUUUAAAUCUCUUUCUCUUGAAUGGCUCCAUCCUUACAGUCUAAAACCACAUCUAAUUCUCUCCCUAUUAUAAACAAAUAGAAAAAAUUUUAAUGUCUCUUGACUUUAUGCCCUCUUCUUGUUAACUACUUAUAUCCCUCCCUUGUCAGCCAAGCCUCUGGAGUAAACAAUUAGUGUUUCUAAAACUUAAGUUCACAUGAACAUUAAAAAAAAUUUUUUUUAAUGUCUAUUUUUGAGAGAGAGUCAGAGCCUGAGUGGGGGAGAGGCAGAGAGAGGGCAACACAGAAUCCAAAGCAGGCCCCAGGCUCUGAGCCAUCAGCACAGAGCCUGACGCAGGGUUCAAACUUGCAGACCACAAGAUCAUGACCUGAGCUGACGUCGGACACUUAACCGACUGAGCCUUCCAGGCACCCCUCACAUGAGCCAUUUUAAAAUAAAUUUGAUCCAUAUUUGUGCCCUAUAAAAAAAAUGAACUCAAAAUGGAAGAUAAACCUAACUAUAAAACUUAAAACUAUAAAACCUCAUUAAAAAAACCUAGAAGAACAUUUUUGUGACCUUGGGAUAGGCAAAGAUUUGUUAGAUUAUAUUAACAAAAUAUGAGCCAUAAAAGAAAAAAAAUGACAGGUUGGGCUUCAUCAAAGUUAAGAACUGUUCUUUGAAAGACACUGAUAAAGAAAAGAAAAAAUAAACCACACACCGGGACGCAAUGUAUGCAAUCACAUAUCUAAUUAAAAACUUGUAUCCCAAACACAGAAAGAACUCAAAACUCAACAAGAAAAUAAACCAACUUAAUUAACAGAUAGGCAAAAGAUUUGAACAUGCAUUUCACUAAAGUAGACCUACAGACGACAAAUAAGCACAUGAAAAGAUGUUCAACAGCAUCAGUCAUUAGAAAAAUGCACAUUAAAACCACAAGGAGUUACCAUUGCCCUCUAGAAUUGCUAAAGUUAAAGGACUGAUUAAACCAAGUGUUGGUAAAGAUGAAGAGGAACUUGAGCUCAUACACUGCUGGUGGGGAUGUACAAUAGUACAGUCCCUCUGGAGAAUAGUUUAUCUGUUCCUCAAAAAAGUUAACUCUGCAUUUAUUGUAUGACUCAGCCAUUUCACUAGUAGGUAUUUAACCCAAGUGAGAAAAAACAUAUGCCCCAUACAAGGGCUUGUACACAAAUGUUCAGAGCAGCUUUAUUUGCAGUAGUCCCAAACUGGAAGCAAGCGAAAUGUCCCUGAGCAGAUGCGUGGAUGGACACAUUGAGCUCUAGCCUUAUAAUGGAAUACUACGCAGCUAUAAAAAGGAAUAAACUAUUGAUACAUAAAACAACGAGCAUGGAUCUCAAAGUUACUGUGCUUGGCAUAUGCAAGACAAAAAAAUUACAUACCCCAUAAUUCCUUUUAUAUAAACUUCUAGAAAAUGCAAAGUGAUCUAUAGUAACAGCAGUUCAGUAGUUGCCUGGAGGUGGGGGACUUGUGGGAGGUAGGAUUAUUACGUGGCAUGAGGAAACAUCAUGGGAUGAUAGAUACAUUCAUUUUUUUCACAGAGAUGAUAGCUUUAUAUACGUACUGUAUAUAUGUCAACUCAUCACAUCGUGCCCUUAAAUAUGUGCAAUGAAUUAUGUCAAUUGUACCUCAACAAAGAUAAUUUUUAAAGGCUACAUAAUGUUCCAUUUCCAUUAAUAUGACAUUUGUGGAAAAGCACAAUGAUAGGGACAAAAAAGUGGCAUGGGGGACAUUUUUGGAAUGAUGAAAUUGUUCUCUAUUUUGAUUGUAGUGAUGGCCACAUGACUACAUUUGUCAAAAUUCACAGGGCUCUACACUAAAGAGGGAGAUUUUAUUGUAUAUAAAUUAUGGCUUAAAUUUAAAAAUAAAUAAUGAACCAUCGUGUUUUAAUUAAAAUUCCACAUAAUGGUACACAUUUAAAUCAAGUGUAUUUUUAUAAAUGAUGUUUAUUAUUUAUACAUUUAAACCAAAAUACAUUUACAAAUCCAAUUUUAAAACUAUAAAUUCAGUACCAUCCAAAUAAGCAACAUUAAUUCAACAAGACAAUGUUAUUUUGCUGAAAAUGAAACACUUGUGGGUGCAGAAUCUUUCUCCGAGACCACUUAGCCGCGCCCAACACUCAGCGCAGAGCAUACGCUCUCUCAAUUCCUCUCUUCCCUCCCUCCCACCAGACCUUUACAGCCUCUCCACCCCUCGGGGUGUUGUAACCUCACAUAUCAGUUGCCAUUUUCUGCUCCCCACAGGUCUCCUUUUAGCUCUGAGAGUUUCUGAUCCUAAAACAAAAGGAAGAGCAAGGAAGCCACCGCAGGGGCUGACCUGAGAAAAGAAAAUCUGAAAAACAAACUGGGAUGGUUGCACACCUACUGACAUGAAUCCUCUUUCUUCCACUAAAAGUGGACGUCCGUCUGUGUCACAGUACAGAAGGACCCCUUCUCUUACCUUAGCCUUGGAAGCACCAGGCUUGAGAGGGCAGAGAGGGGAGAAUGCCAAGCUUGUCCCUUAAAGACAGUGGACUUGAAGUACAGUCUUUCAUUAAUCUUUGUAUUCUCAGUGCCUUGCACUACCUGGCAUAUGUCAGUUAAUUAGCGAAUGACUAAAUGAGUAAGUGAAUAAAUCAUAUUCAUUCAAUUGCAAUAAAUAAAACAUCAAUGAUUAAAUGGGGCAACCUAAAUACAAAUUAAUUUGCCUUGGUUUAUCAAUAUGGGAUAGGCAUCUGCUUCAUGCACCAGCCCUUAAUAACACCCAGUUGAUGUUUGUCUUUUUGAGAUGCUCUAUUAUCUGACAGAGGCUUUGGGGACUGAACUUCACACAGGCUCCUGUGGAACUUGUCUUACUAAACAGCCUCAGAAUUUCACAUGUUUUGUUUUUUUGUUGUUUUUUGUUGUUUCAAGCAAUCUACACCAAAUGUGGGGCUUGAACUCAUGACCUCCAGACCAAGAGUCACGUACUCUACCUGUUGAACCAGCCAGGCGUCCCAGUCCACAUAUUUUUGAAACCAAAAGUACAGACUGUACACUUCGUCAAGUUAUUUCUGACAUUUAAUUUCUUCUCAAAUUGAGUAAAAUGGGGUUACUAAUAGCAACAACUUAUUAGAGUUGAUAUGAAGAAUGAGUCAAUACACAUAAUGUGACCAUACCCUUCCUUAAGCUUGCUUAGAAUUCAAGGAAUAGCCAUCUGGCACAAUUUCACUUGGGAUCUCCAAAGGAAAUGAUUGCUUUUUAUUUAAAUUUAGGUAGAAUAAAUUCUGGGCACACAGAGUUUGUCCUUGAGAGAAAAAACAAGGAAGAAGAAUGGCACUAAAUUGGAAUGUGUUUUUUGCUCAUACAGAUUCCAUAGAAUUGGUUCUCUAUUGAGUCUCUAGUCAUCUAGGUGAAAAGUAGGUUUCCAAAAGGAAGGGGAGUAUAUGGUGGAGCUGUGUGGAGAAAAAUGACCUUGCCCCGUGACCUUGUCUCUGCAGGGGAGUGGUAGGCUGGUGGUUGCCAGCAUUCCAGCUGGAUUGUUUUGAAUCUUCUCUUCAUCCCUUACUGGUUGUAUGGUUUGGAGCAAAUUACUCUCUUAGCCACCUCUUCCAGCUUUUGCUUUUGUUCACAAAUGGGAAUAGCAUCUACUUAUGUGAGGAUUCAGUAAGGUCAUACAAGUGUGGAGGAAAGAAUAUGUGAUUUAAAAACCUAAUUUCACAUGCUCCUGCAUGAAAGGGCUUCAACAGGAAAAUGUACCCUUUUGCUUAGGAACAGGCAUCAAUGGACCGUUUCGUUCUUAGUGGCAAACCUGAGCACCCAUCUGGAUGUGAGAGGUUGAGAUAAAGUGGGUAGUAAAGGUAAUUUGUAAGUAACGAAGUUAUGGGAGUUUAAUUUUUUUCCCCUGAAACCCAAAAAAAGGCAUUUGGACCCUGGAACUAGAGGAAAAAGAGAUGGAGAGCUUGUCCAGAGCACUCUUUUGCAACAGGCAGAGCGGAUGAUAAAAGUUUGCUUUUCCUUUGGUGCUUCCUGUGUCUUCUACAAAGCUUUCAGCUUCCUUAGACUUGCAUUAGCACUGCUUUGGGGAAUCAAGGGAAGGUCAUGCUCAGAGCAAGCUGGAGUAGCCCAUAGGAUGGCAAUAGGGGAUCAAGUUCUAGAACAGAGCAGCAGCGUGUGGCAAGAGGAAACACCAGGAAAAUAGCUAGACUCUCCCUAGCUAUUAAUAUAUUUAAUAUUAUCUGCUUAUUAAUAUAUUUGUAUUUUAUUGUCUUUAUAGUCCUUUGAACUCAGAAAGCUGGAGGGCCAAGGGACAAGUGAAAUGCACUUGCCCCUGCCACCCCCUUAGUAUAAGCUGCUGCCUUCUCUGGUCUGGACUGUUCCAUUGCCUCUAAAUUAGUUUCUCUGCAUCCUUUGUUGUUCCUUCCAAUCCAUCCUUUUUUUUUUUUUUUUUUUUUAAGUUUACUUAUUUAUUUCGAGAGAAAGAGAGAGGGUGAGAGACGGGCAGAGAGAAAGGGAGAGGGAGAGGGAGAGAAUCCCAAGCAGGACUCCUUCCCCUGAACCGUGAGAUCAUGACCUGAGCUGAAACCAAGAGCUGGACACUUCCCCACCCAGGUGCCCUCUAAUCCAUUCUUUACACAAUUGCCAGAACAUAUUUAAAGCAUAAAAUGGAUCAAGUUACCAGCCUUCUGAAAUCUUUUCAUUGGCUUCCCAAUUCUACCUUGGAUAAAGUCACAGCUCCUUACCUUGACCUAGAAGGUCCGCAUCCUCUGCCCCUGCUUCCAUGAGCAGCCUCACAUGGUAUCCAGUGGCCCCUUCACCGACUGCGCUCCAGGACCUUCAGGGCGCAAACUUUCCUCUCUUCCUGAUCUCCUCCUCCUGUUCUGCACGCGUCUGGCUCAUCGCACUUUCAGGUCCCGGCACCGAUGUCAUCUCUUUGGUGAGACCUUUCCUGCUCACUCUAGGUAAAUAGGUCUCACUCUCUGACCCUUGUUGUUUUGCAGCACCCUGCUUGUUUCUUCAUUACACUUCAUGUGGUUUUGUGAGUAUUCAUCUUUUUGCUUUCCUGUUUACUCUCCAUAGGGGCAAAGGCUUUGAUUAUUUCACAAACCCCACCAUACAUCUAGCACCUGGUUCAGUACCUGAACCCUGGUAGACAUUAAAUAAAUGUUUAAAGGAUGAAUGAAUGAACACAUAUCAUUUUAUGUACGUAGUAUAUGACAAAUGUUAGUGCAACAUGUAAUCAAUGUAAAAAUUACUAAUGAGAUAUUUUACAUUUUUUCGUGCUAAGUCUUCGGAAUCUGUUGUGUGUUUUACACUUAAUGGCACAUCUCCAUUUGAACUCGUCAUAUUUUAUUUUAUUUUUAAUUUUUUUAAAUGUUUAUAUUUGAGAGAGAAAGAGACAGAGCAUGAGCAGGUGAGGGGGAGGCACGGGGGGCGGGGGGGCGGCUGUGCAGAGAUGGAGACAGAAUCUGAAGCAGGCUCCAGACUCCGAGCUCCAAGCUGUCAGCACACAGCCUGAUGUGGGGCUUGAACUCACAAGCAGUGAGAUCAUGACCUGAGCCAAAGUCAGACGUUUAACUGACUGAGCCACCCAGGUACCCCAGAUCUUGUCAUAUUUUAAGUGUUUAAUAGCCAAAUGUGGCUAUUGGUUCUCUAUGGACAGUGCAGGUUUGGAGCAUACUAGCGGCCAAUAUAUGGUAGCUACUGGAUAAAAAUAAUGCAAAUUUCAGAAGAAAGGUUUAUUUUAAGAGGUGGGGGAGAGAGCUAUAACCAUUGGCCAAGUCAACAGGAUGAGGCUUCAUUCACCUGUUAACAUCUGGAACGGGAGGGAUACCAUGAAUGCCCUGGAUGGAUGAGUAAGACAGCUGGACCCAGAGGGAGGUGGACAUCGGUGCAAAAGCCCUUGACUUUCAGAUACCUGUGAAGAGCCUGGAGAGCAGAGGACAGCCCGAGGGCAACAGGCUUUGUUGCAGGAGUGGGAGGAGAGAGUAGGCAGCAGGCUUUGCUGGGAAGGCCUCUGCCAGCAGAGUAUCUCAAAAUGGAAUGCAUCCAGACACUAUCAGAGAUCUUGCAGAAACAUACUGUUCCUGGGAUUUGUUGGUGGCAGAAUAUGUAACAUCGAUUUUUUUUUUCUUCUUUAAAAUUCCUUCCGCUAAUUUGUGGCCAGCAUGUUUCCAUGUUUCCAGUUAGGAAGUUGGAACCAGAUAACCAGGCUGUCUACUGAAAAAAGUUUUACCCAUGUUUCUGGGCAGGAAACUGUCCCCUAAAAAGUGACUUUUAGAUGUGAGCCACUCACUAAAAAUUAUUCAUCAUCGUAUUCAUGGCACAGUGCUCAGGAGAAAAAUCCAUUAUGUGUAUUUAAAACUCAGUUUCAAUACUAUGAGAGUAAAAUGUGUGUAGUGCAAAGAGGUAAGCCACUUACUCUGGUAUCCAAAGCAAAAACUGUCUCCUGCCCACAUUUGACUAUUGAUUGUUUCAUUGCUCAGUGCUGUUAUCUCCUGUCAUCAGAAGGACAAAAGGACAAUUACUGCCAAGCCACCAAGCUCAUCUCUUUGCUCCUAGAAGCAAUCUGAGUGUGGUAUAUUCUGAAUCAUUUUGUACCGAGGGCUCCCAGAAGCGUCAGUGGGGUAUCUGUAAGCAGGAGUGAGUUUAUAAUAUUUAAGGGAGAAUCCUUCACUGCGGAUACAAGAAUCCAGCCCACAGCUCAGAGUGAAUAAUUUUAAUAUUUUGACUUCUCCAGAAAAUGAAGACCCCAUACCCCAAGUUCCAAAGAAUAUCUGCCAGUAGUAUUUUGCUGGGCAUCCUGGGAAUCCAUGACUUACAAAAGGUAUAGUACUUUUGGUGAGAGAUUUCCAAGACAGGGGCAAGAAAGGUAAGGGGUUCCCGGGAUGAUUUCCCCAGCACUCAGAAUGCUGCUAACUUGAUAAAAUAUCAGCUGCUAUUUGACAACAAACGGAAACACACCAUGAAAGCACAACUGUUCUUUUCAGACUGUAUUAAUAGAAAAAUCUGGUAAACAAGAAAGAUUAGUACAAGAAUGUUCUAUCAAGUAGAUCCAGUUUCUCUAGGGAAAUGUUAAUCCCUAUUCACUACAGGCUUUCACAUUAAAAUGAGUCAUUAUUGUAUCACUGAUUAAGAUUUUAUAAAGGUUAACAGGUGUAGAGUCAAAUGAGUCUUUUAAAAUUAUUUUUCCCCUUCAAAUAUUUGUAAGGACAUUACAGAUAAUAUUCUUAAUGAAAUAAAGCAUUAAAAUACAUUUAAAGAUUCUUAGGGCCGCCUCACCAAUUUCAUUCCUCUUUUUUCGGUAAACUUAAACUAUACUGUUAUGUCUCAUUCCUUGCAUGUUUUCUACUUGCUGUAUAUGUAUGUAUCUAUAGAUGAAAUACAGUAUUGCUUUUGCAUAUUUUUAAUCUUAAAUAAAUGGUAACUACUGCUA